CUGGCACCAUGUGGUUCCUAGCUGCAGUGCUGGGACCACAGGAACAGCUGGGAUGUGGUGCUGGAGCAGCCGGAGGGGACACGGGGAAGCAGCAGGAGAACGGCAGCAGUGGCAGAUGUGGGGAUGAGUGGCAACGAGCAGGAGCACAGGACCUGCACCAGUGCCCUGGGGCCAAGAGUGGCAGAAACACAGAGGGCGGGCUUGCAGAAGCAUUGGUGGGGGCUCUGCCUGCCACCAGGGGGUGGGGGAGGGCAGGCUGUGGGAAAACCCUCCCCCUCCUCAACCCUCCCCAGCCACCCCCCCCACAUACUCACAGCGCCCCACAAAACUCAUACCCACACAACCCACACCCCCCACACCUAUCCACAACCCCAUACACACACCCUCCCCCAGACCUCACAUACCCACAAACCCAGGGGUGGGCAAAAUACAGCCGGGGGGCCGGAUGCAGCCCGCUAGGCCAUUCUAUCAGGCCUGCGGGGCCCCUAAAAAAAUUUAGAAAAUUAAUAUUAAUCUGCCCUGGCUGCCUGUCAUGCGACCUUUGAUGGCUUGCCGAAACUCAGCGGCCCUCUGCCCAAAAUAAUUGCCCACCCCUGCACAAACCUAUACCCACCCUCCUGCCCACAGCCUCCCACAAUAUACAAAAGUAAGACUUCAUUUUAACCUAUUAUACAAUCACCUCUAUGUACACUACACAAAUAUAUGUAAAUCAGGACAAAAAUAUUUUUGAAAUUAAAUUAAUGAAUGUUGUAGUGCGUUUGUGUUUUAGAAUAUCAUUUGGUAUUUUUUUGGUUCUGAGAUGGCAAAACCCCUUGCUGAAAGGAAUUCUUCUGGGUGCAAGGGGAGGGACUUCUGGUGGCAAAGGUCAGGAGUUAGGGGGCAGGACUUCCAGUCCCAAGGUGGUGACCAGGGUGUGGGGCACAUGUCAAGGGGCGGGGCUACCCAUGCAGCCUUCCAUGGCUUGCCAAACUCAGUAAGCAGCCCUCUGCCUGAAAUAAUUGCCUGCCCCCGCACUAAAUGGACUGAGAAACCCAAGUGUGAUCCUGUUCUAUCCUUCAGGUCUCUGAAAAAAAAGUGUCAAUAUUCCUUCUUUAGUAACACACCGUAAUCUUAGCCUGAAGACUUAAGUGAUGGCUUUAUUAAAACUUACGUUGUGAGCAGCACAAGUAUUGACUGGUGGUAGAGCUAGCUGGAGUUUGGAGCAGUUGCACUUCAGGCCAGCAGGGGCCUGGAGGACGGAAAGCUAAGAAUUCCCCUCUGCCUCCCAUUCUGGGCUUCCUCCCUGACCCUGGCAUUCCCCAGUUUGUCCCUUGCCCCCAAGGCAUUGUGGCUGCCUGCACUAUGUCCCCCAAAGAAGCAGAUAGGGAAGGGUUAACCUGCCUGCCCCAAUCAUGGCUCUGUCCCAGAUCCCAGCCCUGUGCUGUCACCACCCCGAGAUGCUGAUCCCAGCCCUGGCCUUAGUCCCGCCCUCCUGCUCUGCUCCCGGACACCACUCCCUGCCUGCCCGCCCACAGCCCCGUCCCAACCACCUGACUGUGUACCCUACCCGAUUGGGUCCCAGGUUCGUUUCCAUCCAGGGCCAUGUGCCCUAUUCGAUUGGGUCCCACCUGCCUGGUCCAUCCAGUACUCCUGGUGGCAGGUAUGGGGUGGAUGGGCCAGGGUGACUGGGCAAUGGGGCUGAGGGUGGAGCUGGCUGCGGCAGAGGCAAAGGCUGGCAGUGGCAACUGGGAGGCGCUCUGCCCCCAGGGCUGCUGAGAAUCAAGUCCAGCUGCUGUACCACCCCAGCCCCACUGUGCACACAGGGGUGGUGGGACUUGCCACAUGUCCCUGGGCUGGGUGGGGCCAAGGGACUCACUGCAACCCAGACAAAAUCCCUUAGCAAGCCAGAACCAGCCCGCAGGCCAUAUUUUGCCCACCCCUGAUCUCAUGCAACAACUUGCACAAAUGCAGGAUGCGCUUAUUUCUGUACUAUCCCAGACAGCUGCCUUUUUUUAAAAACCUCCCAGGAAGGAGAGUCCACAACUUCUGUGGACAGCUAGUUCCACUGUUCUACUAUUCUGACAGUAAGGAAAAACUGAGAUUUAGACUUAAUCCCCUCUGCUGCAGCCUAUACCCAUUGCUUUACAUCCUCCCCAAGGCAGCGAGGAAAACCAGUUUUCUCCCUCCACUUUAUGUCAUCUGAAAACUUGUGUUCGCCCAUUUAAUCUCCUCUUUGCCAAAUUUAAUUUACCUAGUUCUCUCAACCUUUCCUCAUACAGCUCCAGUUUCUCCACAUACUUCUCAAAUUGCAGCACCCAGAACCACAGUCUUCCUGCUAUUCUGCUCAAAAGAUCUCAGGCAAGUUCAUGUUCAAAAGGGAUGACCUUUUAUUCCUGGUUCAUUCUCUGAUAAGUCAGAAAAGGCCCAACACACAGCCACAUAAAACACACAAUCAAAUAGGCACUGCAAACAGGCUCUAAUCAGACACAGAUAACCAACUUGUAGCAAAGCCUCCCUUGAUGCAUUGCUACCAUAGAGCCUUUUCCACAGUCCCUUUUGGAAGUUCCUAGACAAUCUCACCCUUAUAGCUUCUUGUUUGAUUAUUGUAUUCACCCAGGAACAAGCAAUUUUCUUUUAAAGAUUAUAGGUGGAGCCAGAAAUCUUUAUUGCUUUAUUCAGGAGCAGCUACAAGAGUGCACCUGUAGAUUUUGGCUGAGCAGCAAGGGGAGGGGGCAUGAUGCUGAUUAGUGGACUCCGCUUCUGCUCUGUGGAGCCAGCUUUCAGCUAUGGUGAGCCUAUGCUGCAGUAGGUAAGGUGAAAUAUUUUUUAUGCCUUCCAAAACCACGAUGCAAUUUAGGGUGUGUCCUAUGCAAAUAAAUGUGAUCAUUAAAAAUGACUAGCAGAUCCUAUAUAAGCCUCUGUUUUUAACCAAUUAACUACUAAACUAAAUCCUGAGGCCAAAAUUUUAAAUUCUUGCUCUCUGCCUCAAGUUGAAUUUUUUUUUUCAGUUUUCACAAAAAAGUCUGAGGUUUUGUUUGUUUGUUUGUUUGUUUGUUUGUUUUUAAUAGGCAUUUUUAAUAAUUUAGACCCAUUUUUUAUAAUAAUGAUAACUCAGGACAUUGGAACAGGAACUUGAAAUGUGAUAGGCAGUUCCAGAGUCAGAGAAGUGCCUCUUUUCCUGUCCAUGAAACUACCUUAAGUUACAAAUGACAUCAAAUCACUAUUUGAUAAUGCACAGUACAGCUUGUUAGACUCUUGAUACUAAAAUGUCUAAAGAUUCUUGCUGCCAUGAAUGUUCUUCCCAGAUGACACAGCGAAUCUUGUAGACCAGAACAGAUUUCUUUGUGGUACAUUGACCAACAUGCUUUUCCUGUUAUUUUCCAAUGCUGAAAUACGCUUUGGCUUAGGAGACAGUACACUGAUGUGGAAACACACAAGGUGUAAGUACAAAGCUCACUUCUACAGACUAGUAUUAAUAUUGUGUACCUAACUCCAAAGUGUAGGUCCUCAGACCCCUGUUGGCUGGCACCAAAGUUGCUGUCAGUACAAUUCCUUGGGAGACUGGAUGCCUGCUGCAGGGCAAAUCCAGUACUGCCUCAGCCUAGCUCAUGUCUAAGCCCUGUUGAUAUUCACAGCUGGGAAAUGUCUUCCUUUUCCCUGCAGAGCUUAACUUGGUAGGCAUUUUCAGAGCACACAGUCCCAUGUGGAAGACAGCCAGGAAGGUUUUUUUGUUCAAUAACUCAGUGAUUUAGGCUUUCUCCUAGUGGGAGGCCCAGAUUCAAAACACUGGGGGGCUUAGCCUCCCCCCCCCACCCCAAAAGAGUGGCAUACCCACAAGACUAUAGGGUAUUCUGCAGAGAAAUCUCCCUCUGAAUUUCUCCUGUCAAAGCUGUUCCACUCUGUAUAAAAUACAGAAUUAUUCUUUGGAGAAGAACUGGAACUCAGGUUUUCACCUUCCCAGGUAAGUGCUCUAGCAUCAGGCACUAUAGUAGUGUUUGUCAAUCUUUUUACACUUGAGGCACCCUUCAUUUGUCUCAAGGCACCCCCCUUCCCCCUCCCCCCCCCCAUAACUUUUGUGAAUUUAGCAGCACUCCAUUUCAAAAUCAAAUGUAUUACAGUGCUUAUCUCUUUGCAGAUGGUCUGCCAACGGGGGUGGGGCAGUCACCAGGCAGGUACAAGCUUGAGCCUGUGCUUGUCACCAUGCACUUGAUUGUGUCCUCACACCUUGAGGCUCCCUUUAAAAGAUCUCCCGGCACCUCAGAGUCCCUUGGCACCAUGGUUGAGAAUAACUUCUCUACAGACUCUCAUGCAAAAUGGAACCAAGUUAACUGCUGACUCAAAAUUAGCUGCUGCUGGGGAUACAGCGUGUCAGAGGAUCUGGUGCCUGUGAAGAUAUAUCUGGAUAAAGCACUGAUGUGGUGAGUGGAAACAGGAAACUCCAGCACUAGGAGACAGAAGCCUGCUGCUUUGCAUUGCAGAUUUAUGUUGAGCCUGUGAUCCACUGAGACACCAAGAUCUUCCCCUGCAUUGUUGCCAUCCAGCCUGUUGCCAUCCAUUUUGUAUUUGUGGUUUUGAUAAUUCUUCUCAAGGUGCAUCAACUUGCAUUUGUUAGCACCGAAUUUCAUCUUGUUGGUUGUAGGCCAUCUUUCCAAUCUAUCAAGAUCCUGCUGAAUAGUGCUUGUA